GCGCCCGUAGCUCAGUUGGCAAAAAGCUGUGGGACGGUACCCCACGGUCCCGGGUUCAAAUCCCGGCGGUCGCU